ensembl:snRNA U6 U6 spliceosomal RNA
UGCUCACUUCAACAGCAGCACUAUACUACAAUUGGAAUGAUAUAGAGAUUAGCAUGGCUCUUUUGCAACGAUGGCAUACAAAUCCGAGAAGCAUUUCACAUUUAA